UCUGUGUUUGUGUGUGUGUGUCUCUGUGUGUGUGUCUGUCUGUGUGUGUGUGUCAGGUGGGUGUAGUGCACCUGCAGUGGGAGGAGGCGUCUGCAGUCGUCUACACCUGUAACCUGGCUGGUGUCGUCACUCUGUGGGACGCGAGAUCAGGAGUCAUGAUGUCAGAGUACCGCGGCCACUCAGCUGAGAUCCUCGACUUUGUGCUGAACAGAGAAGCCUCAGUCGCCGUCACCGCCGGAGGAGACCAUCAAGCCAAAGUGUUCUGCCUGCAGAGACCCGACCGGUAGAGACCGUCUUCAUCUGGAUCCCGUUAGACUUACCUAGUUAAUACCUCCUCACUGACACAGCCACCUGUAAACUUCAGCUUUUUACAGUUUUCACAGAGCUGUGCUGUUCUGUCUUUAGGUCGUUCUUGUCAUGAUUUUGUAAGUCUGACAGACUGAUUUCUCUUGUCUUUUGCUUAAGCUACAUACAGCUGUACUUGAGACGUCACAUAAAUUAUAUGGCCAAGAAUAUGUGGGUUUUAUCUGUUAUAGUAAUUUUUUAUGAAGACAAUGCUUCACCGUACAGUGACAUUCUCGAGAAAUGUGUGCUUCAAACUUGGUUGCAGUAGCUUCAUGCUGAAGUAGAAAACAACCCUCCACAAAAUCUGAAGCACACGUUUCUCUAGAAUGUCACUGUGUGGAGAAGCUUUGAGAUUUGUCUUCAUAGAAAUGAUUGAAGUAAUUACACCUAUUAAUCAGAAGAGGAUGUCCGCACUCGUUAGGCCACACAGAGUAUAUAAAAUUCGGUUUCAAAAAGUUUUGGGUAAAAAUGCACAUUUACUCAUAGGUUCAGAUUUCUAGACCGUUCAGUUGGAUGGUCAGAUGAAAGAUCUUCCCUGUUGCUGUUGUUAUGUGUCUGUUUGCUGGUUAAGGAACCGCUUUUGUCGUUCUUCUCCCACCACUAGCUGUAAACCGUUAGCAGACACAAAUUCCCAACUGCCUGUGGACUGUCUUGGCAAAAGUUCAGUGCUGAAUGGUUGGCCAUACAUUCUGUUGUUUAAUCAAUGUCAUGUUGAAACUACAUGAGUGCUGUCAACCUUAAUUUUACUCCUUUGUAGCAAGUUACAAGAAUGUUUGAAAUGUGAUGUGUGAAUAAACACCAGUGAUGUUAACCCUG